rnacentral:snRNA from 1 species
AUACUUACCUACCUGAUGGCCCGGAGAUCAAGAGCCCCGGGUUGUGGAUGAGAGGGGCCUGCAUUGCACACCUGCGGCCGUGCCUCUCGCCGUAUGGGGCCCUUCUUGGGAACCGUACAAGGUCUAAUUUUUGAUGUC